rnacentral:rRNA from 1 species
AGCGAACGCUGGCGGCAGGCCUAACACAUGCAAGUCGAACGAACCUUUCGGGGUUAGUGGCGGACGGGUGAGUAACACGUGGGAACGUGCCUUUAGGUUCGGAAUAACUCAGGGAAACUUGUGCUAAUACCGAAUGUGCCCUUCGGGGGAAAGAUUUAUCGCCUUUAGAGCGGCCCGCGUCUGAUUAGCUAGUUGGUUGAGGUAAUGGCUCACCAAGGCGACGAGCAGUAGCUGGUCUGCGAGGAUGAUCAGCCACAUUGGGACUGAGACACGGCCCAAACUCCUACGGGAGGCAGCAGUGGGGUAUAUUGCGCAAUGGGCGAAAGCCUGACGCAGCCAUGCCGCGUGAAUGAUGAAGGUCUUAGGAUUGUAAAAUUCUUUCACCGGGGACGAUAAUGACGGUACCCGGAGAAGAAGCCCCGGCUAACUUCGUG